GCCUGGCCAGCCCGAGAGACAGCGGAGAUUCAUUACCCGCCGACACAAUGACCAUUGAUGGCCCCGUGGCGUUAUUCAAAUCCAGUACCAAUUGCAGCCGAGCCCCUUUCUCCGCGCCAGGCCCGUAUUGUUGGAGCGGCCCACUAAAAGCCCGCCCCGGCCCCGAGCCGCCAGAGGCGCCUGCUCGGGUUCAGCCUUGCGCCUCGGCAGCCCGCCGGCUCCCAGUCCGGCUCCACGGGCGCUGCAGGUGACCCGGCGGCGCAUUCCAGCACUCCCCGCCGCCCGGGCCACCGCCGCCACCGCCACCGCAGGCGCCCCGGCCGCGACUCAGCCACAGGAAAGCGGAGAGCGCCCGAGCCGGUGCGUGCGCGGGGCUGGGCGGGGGCGGGGGACCCACGAAUCCAGCAGCCCGGACCCCGGGCUCGGAAACGCGACCCGGCCUGGGGCUCCUGCCUUCCGGAUUCCCGGAGAUCCCAGGCUGGGGGCAGGGAGAGGGGAGUCGGGGUUCCCCAGGCCAGACAGAGGAGAUUCCCCCUCGACCUGGGGCGGCGCUGAGACCCAACGCGGGCCACUCUGCGGACUCCGGGCCGCGAUCGAAGGAGCCACGCCAGGGGCGAUGGGGAUCCCCGCACAGGGUCAGGAUCCGCGUGCUUGCUAGUCCACCUUACCGCCGGAUGGGCAGCCGCUGCUGAGCGCCUGCUAGGUGGUCCGACGCGCAGCUCCGAGCUGUCCUGGACUGGCGCUUUUUAGGAGCGAAGGGGAACCCCGCAGGAGACCAGGGCCCUGAACUCAGGGGCUUCGCCACUGAUUGUCCAAACGCAAUUCUUGUACGAGUCUGCGGCCAACCGAGAAUUGUGGCUGGACAUCUGUGGCUGAGCUCCGGGCGCAACAGGGGCGGGGGCCCCAGGGACAGGGCUCAGCGCGGGCGAGACCUCUCGGGGCGGCGGCUGGCUGGCCCCAGCGCGAGGAUCGCGGUCCCGGCCCGCGCGCACAGAGACGCCGGUCCCUGCCACCAGCGCCGCCAUCCGCAUCCUCGUCCUUCUUCCUUCUCUGCGGGUGACCAGUCCCGGCCGGCAGGGUCCUUCAGUCGAUCGCGUCGUUUUUCCUCCUUUCAAAUUUCGGCCGGAACGAAGCCGGCACGCAGCGGCGGGGCCGAAUGUGGUCCGCCCUCAGCCCAAGCCGCAUGAAGUCGGGGGUGAAAGAAGAGGCCGGCCGAAUGCGCCCGCUAACUCGUUUCGCAGUUGUUCUAACUUAUCACCCCAAUACUCCCUACCUAAACAAAACAAAUCCUCAACCAACCCCUAAAUCCCAAACAAACCAACCCCUCCCGCAAGCCCCUCCGGACGGACCGAUGGGCUGAGCCUCCUCCAGCCGCUGCCAGGGUCCGACGGGCAAGCGUCACCAACGAUGCGCUCCAGCCCGGCAAUCUCCUCGGCUUUGGAAAUAGAAUUUGGAAAAACGAAUCCUUUUCAUUAAAGAAAAAUCUUCGGA